rnacentral:rRNA from 1 species
AUGGAUCUCUCAGGGCUUGUGGGGUCUUUCUCUUGGGCUGAAAUUGUCGAGGCCAUAGAUAAAGCACCAAAUAACCGGAGCCCAGGUCCGGAUGGGUUCACCAAUGAAUUCUACAAGGCUUUCAAACACUUACUAAAGGAGGAUCUGCUCAGGUUCUUCAAUGACUUGCAUAGUAGCAGUGUUGAUCUUGCUGGCAUCAACACCGCUUUCAUUACUCUCGUGCCUAAGAAGGAUACCCCAUUGGAGAUGAGAGACUAUAGGCCCAUUUCCUUGGUACACAGUACGCCAAAGCUAGUUUCCAAGGUUAUGGCCAAUACGCUACAAAGGUGGAUUCAUAACUUAGUGCAUUCUUUGCAGUCUGGGUUCUUGAGGGGACAUUCUAUUGUUGAGAACUUUGCCUUGGUAGUUGAGUUAAUCCAGUGCGCUCACAAUAGGAAGCUGCCGGUUAUUGCUUUGAAACUGGAUUUUCACAAGGCUUUUGAUAGCGUUAGUUGGAGCUGUCUUGAUCAAGUUUUGGAAGCCAGAAGUUUCCCUCAGUUGUGGAGACAAUGGAUCUCUAACAUCCUUUCUACUGGUCGUUCGAAGGUAUUGAUUAAUGGUGAGUUGGGGGCACCAUAUCUGCCCCACUGUGGAAUCAGUUCGUCAUUCGGUACUUCAUUGUCGAGUAGUGAAUGCCAUAUGGAAUAG